rnacentral:lncRNA from 1 species
AGCGCUGCUGGAGCCCAAGCGGAGCAUCGCCCUCGGCGUCCUCCUGAAGCAGCUCAAGCGGUGAGCGGGGCUGUGGGCACCCGCCGACCCCGAGGGGGUUUCGGAGUCCCCCGGCCCCGUCCCGGGGGCACGGAACGGGACCGUGCCCGAGAACGGGGGCACGGCGGGGGGCUUCAUCCCUUCGAGAACAUCCGUGCUCCUCGGGGGUCCCAUCCCCUGGAAGAGAGUUGCCGCUUCUGGGGGGGGGGGCGGUUCCGUGCCCCUUGAGAGGGGCUGGCGGCCUGUCCCACCCCGGUNNNNNNNNNNNNNNNNNNNNNNNNNNCGGGGCGCCGUAGGGCGCGGAGCUGCGGCUGGAGCUGUCCCGGCUGUUGCCCGGCGCCGUGGAGGUGAGCCUCGGGGUGGGGGAACCCCCGGCGGACCCCUCUGACUGCCCGCUCCUCCGCCCCCCCUCGCAGGUGUCCCGGCUGCGCGCUUUCUCUGGCUGCCCUCAGCAGCUGCCCGAGCCCGAGCUCUUCAUGCUGCUGCUGCUGGAGGUGCCCAGCUACGCGCAGCGCCUGGAGCUGAUGGUGCUGCAGGAGGAAUUCUCCCCGCGGCUCAGCGCGCUCCGCGCUUCCAUACAAAUCCUGACCGACGCCGCCGAGGAGGUGGUGCGGUGCGAGGAGCUGCACGCGGUUCUGCAUCUCGUUCUGAGCGCGGGGAACCACCUGAACGCGGUGAGCGGCCCCCCUGCCCUUCGUGGCCAUGGUGAGCGCCUGCGGGAA